GAUGAACGCUAGCGGCAGGCCUAAUACAUGUAAGUCGAACGGUGUAGCAAUACACAGUGGCGCACGGGUGCGUAACACGUAUGCAACCUACCUUACAUUGGGGGAUAGCCUUUCGAAAGGGAGAUUAAUACCGCAUAAGACAGUAACUAGGCAUCUAUUAGCUGUUCAAGAUUUAUCGAUGUAAGCUGGGCAUGCGUUCAAUUAGUUAGUUGGCGAGGUAAUGGCUCACCAAGACGAUGAUUGGUAGGGGAACUGAGAGGUCAAUCCCCCACACUGGCACGGAGAUACGGGCCAGACUCCUACGGGAGGCAGCAGUAGGGAAUAUUGGGCAAUGGGCGCAAUCCUGACCCAGCCAUGCCGCGUGCAGGAAGAAGGCGUUAUGCGUUGUAAUCUGCUUUUAUACAGGAAGAAACGACCCUUGCGAGGGGCAUUGACGGUACUGUAUGAAUAAGCACCGGCUAACUCCGUGCCAGCCGCCGCGGUAAUAC
rnacentral:rRNA from 1 species